UACGGAGGGCGCAAGCGUUGUUCGGAAUCACUGGGCGUAAAGCGCGUGUAGGCGGCUUGGUAAGUCGGGUGUGAAAUCCCGGGGCUCAACCCCGGAACUGCACUCGAAACUGCCUCGCUAGAGUCCCGGAGAGGGUGGUGGAAUUCCCGGUGUAGAGGUGAAAUUCGUAGAUAUCGGGAGGAACACCAGUGGCGAAGGCUGCCACCUGGACGGUGACUGACGCUGAGACGCGAAAGCGUGGGGAGCAAACAGG
rnacentral:rRNA from 1 species